rnacentral:tRNA from 1 species
UCCCUGGUGGCUCAGCAGUAAAGCAUCUGCCUGCAAUGCAGAAGACCCAGGUUCAAUUCCUGGAUUGGGAA